CCUUUCAGAAGCUUUUUUCAUCUGAUCCUCAUGUCCUUUCAAAGGGAUGUUCACAAGUUUUGAGAACAAAUUUAGGAGUUUGAAGAAAAUGAGAGUAAGUCAUGGAGAGUAGAAGACAUUCCAAAGUGGUAAAUGUAGGCUGAAAAUGUAGCAUCUGAACCUGGGAGGCUCUGACCAUCUACUAUAAACGUGGACCUACUAACUGCAAUGAAGUAUCACAGGACUGUCU
rnacentral:lncRNA from 1 species